rnacentral:rRNA from 1 species
UACAGAGGUCUCAAGCGUUGUUCGGAUUCAUUGGGCGUAAAGGGCGCGUAGGCGGCGGGGUAAGUCGGGUGUGAAAUCUCAGAGCUCAACUCUGAAACUGCACUCGAUACUGCUUUGCUAGAGGACUGGAGAGGAGAUUGGAAUUCACGGUGUAGCAGUGAAAUGCGCAGAUAUCGGGAGGAACACCAGUGGCGAAGGCGGCACUCUGGGCCGGUACUGACGCUGAGGAGCGAAAGCGUGGGGAGCGAACAGG